rnacentral:rRNA from 1 species
GACGAACCGUGCGAACGUUAUUCGGAAUCAUUGGGCUUAAAGGGCGCGUAGGCGGCGGCGUAAGUUGGAAGUGAAAUCCCAUCGGCUCAACCGUGGAAUUGCUCCCAGUACUGCGUCGCUCGAGGGGGAUAGGGGUCUGCGGAACUACCGGUGGAGCGGUGAAAUGUGUUGAUAUCGGUGGGAACGCCAGUGGCGAAAGCGGCAGACUGGACCCUUCCUGACGCUGAUGCGCGAAAGCUAGGGGAGCAAACGGGG